GACAGGGGAUGCAAGCGUUAAUCGGAAUUACUGGGCGUAAAGCGUGUGUAGGCGGCCCGUUAAGUGUCUUGUGAAAUCCCCCGGCUCAACCGGGGAACUGCUGGGCAUACUGGCGGGCUUGGGUCGCUCAGGGGCAGACGGAACAGGCGGUGGAGCGGUGAAAUGCGUAGAUAUCGCCUGGAACGCCGAAGGUGAAAACAGUCUGCUGGGGGCGCACCGACGCUGAGACACGAAAGCCAGGGGAGCGAACGGG
rnacentral:rRNA from 1 species